AGUGGUUGUAGCGGUGGUGGUGACGGCGGCGGCGGCAGCUGGGUUUUGGGGGAUGGGAUGGGGUGGCGGCGGGAUCUGCAGCCGCCCUGCGACUCGGAAAUGAGGACCCGAGGCGGUGCGGGAGGCCGGGGAGUCGGCCAAGGUUGGCCCUGGGAAUCGGUCGGAUGACAACGAGGCCUGUCGGGCAAGGCCAGUGGGCUCGACCGUGGCUGUGUUUUCUGCAAAACCUACUUUUAGCUCUGUUAAUUAGGUUAGCAAAUAUUGAGUCCCAGGCGCAGGUGCUGUGAUAUCAUCGCACAGACUAAACUCAGCCGCUGUGGAGCUCCGAGAAAGAGAGGCGAGAGCCAAAGAAAUAGGUCAAAUUCAUUGUGUUGAGAUGGAGACAUGGAGGGGCGUGGAGAUUUUAAAUGGGGCGGCCAAGGAGGACAUGGCUGCAAAGACAUUUACGUGGAAACAGCGGGAGGAGAGAACCUCGUUCCAAGUGCGGAGGCCCUGAGCAUCUAGGCCUCUUUUCUGUGUUUUCAAAGUGUCUCCAGCACCACCUCAUUUAGCCCCUCAGUGGACAAGUGCUCCCCCAAGGACAGGGCCCAUAGACUGUGACUGUCCCACCCCUUCUCUUGCACCUGCUCUGCCUCAUUUUUCAGGUUUCAGCUGCCUCCAUCUCAGGCCUGCAGCCGCGUUGAUCACUGCCUCCCUUUUCCUUGACAUCUUUUGGGUACCCUCUUUGUUUGCCUCCCCUCAGUUUAAGUGUCAAGGAUGUCAAUUGUGUGCACUGAGUACCCAGCAUCCUCUCUGCCACACAAUAGAUAAUUUUAUUGACAGAAUAGAGAGUGGCAACUUGUUGAAAGUGCAACAUGCCUGCAUCAGUUCCUUGAGUCUCUCCAAGCCCAAGCUGAGACAAUGGGGACAUGGAAGCUGACAAGGAAGCAUGAAGAAUCCUGUUUUAAAGACAAAAUGUCUCAGGAGCAUUCGUAUAGACCAGUGACUGCUCGUGGCUGUACAUUGGAAUUCCAGUUUAAGCAAAACAGAUAUCAUGCAGCUCCUCUGCUCUGUUGGAGACUACGGUCUAGAGAAAUAUACAAAGAACAUGAGCCUCAUCAGUGCGGUGCUUCCCAAAUUCACCAGGUAAGCAAAAUGCCAACGAGGCGGUUCAAAACACAAGCCUGGAGAAUCUCCUGGGGAUUUGGAGGCAUUCUAAGGUGGAGCUCUGGAAUUUUUCACUAAAAGUGCCCAAGGUGGGUCUUACCAUCUGGAAAGACUGUGAAGAGCCGUGGAAGCAGUGAUUUCAGUGGGGCAAAUCCACAGACUCGCCUUUACCCUGUCUGUUUGCCAAAACUCAGAGAAGGCAGGGAUACUUCCAACAAGGAACUUGCCAGCUAUUUUGGCCACAUGACUGAAAUGACCUUUUUUAAAAUUCUAGAUGUAAGCAUGUGCUAGAAGAUAUAUUUUCAGUGUGGCCUUCAGAAUCCCCCAGGGGGUCCAUUAACACACAAAUCACUAGGCCCCACCCACAGAGCCUCUGAUUCAGCAGGUGUGGGACGCGACCUGAGAACCUACAUUGCUGGCAAACUCCUGGAGGAUGCUGUCACUGCUGGGGGCUGCGGGUUGUGUUUGGUGAUGAAAUCCUGUCAAGAUUCAGCCUGUUGUCAUCCUGGUGUCCUUUUCGUGGGUGAGGCAAGUGAGCCCAGAGUUUAAGAUACUUGAACUAGAUCACACGUCAGGGCAGGGUCUGUAAACUCAGAUCUGGUCUGGUCGCUGAGAGGAGACUCCAGAAUGAUAUUAAGGCAUUGACUCAAUGGUUAUGGAGACUGGCAAGUCCAAAAUCGGCAGGCCGGAAACUCAGGAAGAGUUAAUGCCGCAGUUUAAGCUCCAAGGCCAUCUG